UGUGGGAAAGCCUUUAGCCAGAGGUCACACCUUGUUACACACCAGAAAAUUCAUACUGGAGAGAAGCCUUAUCAGUGCAAUGAAUGUGGGAAAGUCUUCAGGAAGCAUUCCCUCCUUACUCAACAUCAGAGAAUCCACAGUGGUGAAAAGCUCUACGAAUGUAAAAAAUGUGGAAAAACCUUCAUUUGGCACACAGCUUUUCUCAAACAUCAGAGACUUCAUACUGGAGAGAAAUUUGAAGAAUGUGAGAAAACCUUCAGCAAGAAUGAGGAGCUUAGGGAAGAGCAGAGAAUUCAUCAGGAAGAGAACACUUUUAGCUGUAAUCAGUGUGGUAGAAUGUUCCAAGGCAGCUCAGACCUCGUUAGACAUCAGGUAACUCAUACAGAAGAGAAACCAUAUGAAUAUAAAGAAUGUGGUAAAACUUUCACUCAGAACUCAGACCUUAUGAGACAUCAUAG